GAUGAACGCUGACAGAAUGCUUAACACAUGCAAGUCUUUGGCGAAGCUGUGCUCGCACAGCCUAGCCAAGGCGGACGGGUGAGUAACGCGUAAGGAACUUGCCCUGCAGUCAGGGAUAACAGACGGAAACGACUGAUAAGACCUGGUAAAGUCAGGCGGACUCAUGUCCAGCCUGAUGAAAAGAGAUGCUGCAGGAGAGCCUUGCGUCCUAUUAGCUUGUUGGUGGGGUAACGGCCCACCAAGGCGAUGAUAGGUAGCCGGCCUGAGAGGGUGGACGGCCACAAGGGGACUGAGAUACGGCCCUUACUCCUACGGGAGGCAGCAGUGGGGAAUAGUGGACAAAGGGGGCAACCCUGAUCCAGCAAUUCUGUGUGCACGAUGAAGGUUUUCGGAGUGUAAAGUGCUUUCAGCAGGGAAGAAAAAAAUGACGGUACCUGCAGAAGAAGCGACGGCUAAAUACGUG
rnacentral:rRNA from 1 species